GUGCUUGCUUUGGCAGAAUAUAUGCUAAAACUGGUAUGAUGCAGACAAUAUUAGCAUGGUCACAGUGUCAGGAUGACAUGCAAACCCGUUUAAAAAAUAUAUUU